rnacentral:rRNA from 1 species
AUUGAACGCUGGCGGCAGGCUUAACACAUGCAAGUCGAACGAUGACUCUCUAGCUUGCUCGAGAUGAUUAGUGGCGGACGGGUGAGUAACAUUUAGGAAUCUACCUAGUAGUGGGGGAUAGCUCGGGGAAACUCGAAUUAAUACCGCAUACGACCUACGGGUGAAAGGGGGCGCAAGCUCUUGCUAUUAGAUGAGCCUAAAUCAGAUUAGCUAGUUGGUGGGGUAAAGGCCCACCAAGGCGACGAUCUGUAACUGGUCUGAGAGGAUGAUCAGUCACACCGGAACUGAGACACGGUCCGGACUCCUACGGGAGGCAGCAGUGGGGAAUAUUGGACAAUGGGGGCAACCCUGAUCCAGCCAUGCCGCGUGUGUGAAGAAGGCCUUUUGGUUGUAAAGCACUUUAAGCAGGGAGGAGAGGCUAAUGGUUAAUACCCAUUAGAUUAGACGUUACCUGCAGAAUAAGCACCGGCUAACUCUGUG